UACGUAGGGUGCGAGCGUUAAUCGGAAUUACUGGGCGUAAAGGGCGCGUAGGCGGCCCGGUAAGUAGGGGGUGAAAUCCUGCGGCUUAACCGCAGGGCUGCCUUCUAAACUGUCGGGCUCGAGCACGGUAGAGGCAGAUGGAAUUCCCGGUGUAGCGGUGGAAUGCGUAGAGAUCGGGAGGAACACCAGAGGCGAAGGCGGCGACCUGGACUGAGUACUGACACUCAACUACGAAAGCGUGGGGAGCAAACAGG
rnacentral:rRNA from 1 species